rnacentral:tRNA from 1 species
GGGCUUAUAGUUUAAUUGGUUAAAAUGUACCGCUUAUAAUGGUGAUAUUGUAGUUCGACCCUACUAAACCUA